CUGGUUUCUGGGAGCCCAUGAGCUGCAAGGUAUUUUACAUAGCUCAUCAACCAGGACUCAGAGGGUGGAAAGCAACAGCAAAAUAACAGACUUGGCCUCUUAGAAGAGCUGUGGGAACACUGCAAUGCCCUGAGUGUCUGCAACAUGCCUCUGAGCUAAACAUCAAUUAAAAGUAUUUGCCAGGAGCCACCUGAAGCUUUUUCUCCAGAGGGACUGGCUGAAUUGGAUUUACUCCAUGCUACCUGGCUCUGCUGACAAGCACACCAUUGACUGAAAAGUGUUUAGUGAUUACAAGCUCCACAUUAAUAAGAGAAGCACAGAAUACCCUGAGCUGGAAGGGAACCACAGGGACCAUCAAGUCCAACUCCUGGCCUGCACAGGGCAGCCCCAAGAGUCACACCCUGUCCUUAGAUCUUUGUACAAACACUUCCUGAGCUCUGGCUGCUUGCUGCAGUUGUGUGAGAUGCCAACAGACCUCACCAAAUCCUGUCCUGAGGUUGUGUUGGAGCUGGCAGCUGCCAUCCAUUCCUUUGCUAACUCCAAAUUAGAAAGAAUAGAAAUAAAAAUAGUGUAUCAAGCUGUUAGAAA